GGCCUGCUGCGGUUCCUGCGGAAGCUCAAGGAGGUUUUCGACGUGUGCGACGAGGAUGCGGACGGCUUCAUCCGGGUGGAGCACUUCGUCGCCCUGGGGCUGCAGUUCGGCCAAGGCGAUGAGGUGGAAAAACUGGCAAAGUACUUGGAUCCAAAUGAUUUGGGAAGAAUCAAUUUUAAGGACUUCUGCCAUGGAGUUUUUGCUAUCAAAGGCUGCGAAGAGUUACUGAAUGAUGUUCUGUCACCUGAAAGCUCCGGGCCUUGGCUCUAUGAGCUGCAGUAUGAUUAUUACUAUUACCAGGUAAGAGGAGCAUUAAC
rnacentral:lncRNA from 1 species